UUUUAUCUUCGGGGCAGGGUGUAAUUCCCUACCGGCAGUAUAGCCUGCGAGCCUUAUUGGUUGAUUCGGUGUGAUUCCGAAGCCGACGGUAAAGUCCGGAUGAAAGAAGAUAAAC
rnacentral:ncRNA from 1 species